GUGAAAUCUGUCCCAGGCGAUCUCUGCUGCAGGGGUUCCAAGGUCAAGCCCCUUGCUUCCAGGCCUCGGGUUCCCUGUCGUGAUGAACUAGUGGAAGAAUCUAGGCGAAUGUUAGUGACUCUUCCUGGAUGAGAGAGUCGAGUCCUGCUUGGAGCCAGAAGGUCUGUGUGAAUGAGUCUUAAACUUCUCAAGCUCCGACUCCUGUUUUCUAUUAUCCAGCGAGUGUAACAGAAGUGCCAGUGGGAAGGAAGGAAGGAUUCAAGUCCCAAGGGCUUGAAGCCAAAACAGGACGUGUAUACUCGCCUCUCACAUUAUUUUCAUCAUUGUCAUCAUCAUCAUCAUUGCCAUCCCCCAUUGUUAAUAUUGUGAAAUAUUUAUUUUUUUGUAAUUCAGUCAUGUGCAGGGGAAUGAAU